rnacentral:misc_RNA from 1 species
AAAAGCGCUCCGGUAUUAAUACUACCGGAGAUCACACCGCCCGCGCCGCUAAGCCGUAUCCUACCGGGAUGCCGCUUGGUAGCAGGAUGUGUCCACCCAUUGUUGAAACUUCUACUUUGCUUCGGCAGCACUCUCCCCGCUACGGUGCGGAAGAGGUAAGGCUGUCAGAAGCCCGUAACAAAAACCGGUUGAUGAAAUGUCAUGCUGUCUGAUGCUUUUUAGUAUUUUGAGAAAUCGAAUUACCGUUA